UACGUAGGGUGCAAGCGUUGUCCGGAAUUAUUGGGCGUAAAGAGUUCGUAGGCGGUCUGUCGCGUCGGCUGUGAAAUCCCGAGGCUCAACCUCGGGUCUGCAGUCGAUACGGGCAGACUAGAGUAUUGCAGGGGAGACUGGAAUUCCUGGUGUAGCGGUGAAAUGCGCAGAUAUCAGGAGGAACACCGGUGGCGAAGGCGGGUCUCUGGGCAAUGACUGACGCUGAGGAGCGAAAGCGUGGGGAGCGAACAGG
rnacentral:rRNA from 1 species